rnacentral:rRNA from 1 species
AAUGGGCGCAAGCCUGAUCCAGCAAUGCCGCGUGUGUGAAGAAGGCCUGCGGGUUGUAAAGCACUUUCAGUGGGGAAGAACGGGCCAAGGUUAAUACCCCUGGCUUCUGACGUUACCCACAGAAGAAGCACCGGCUAACUCCGUGCCAGCAGCCGCGGUAAUACGUAGGGUGCGAGCGUUAAUCGGAAUUACUGGGCGUAAAGCGUGCGUAGGCGGUUACGUCAGUCAGCCGUGAAAGCCCCGGGCUCAACCUGGGAAUGGCGGUUGAGACGGCGCGACUAGAGUGGGCUAGAGGAUCGUGGAAUUCCGGGUGUAGCGGUGAAAUGCGUAGAGAUCCGGAGGAACACCGAUGGCGAAGGCAGCGGUCUGGGGCCACACUGACGCUGAGGCACGAAAGCGUGGGGAGCAAA